GGGGGUAGGCCCCUGGCAAGUAGGCCCCUCCUUUGCGGCUGCUGUGGGGACUUUCGAGAGCAGAGCACACCCCUAAGUGCGUGGAGAGGAGGGAAGCUGAGGCUCAGAGACAUCAUGAGGAUGCCAGCUCAAGGCCCAGCCAGGCCUUGGUCCUCAGCUGCUGUCAUCCAGUAGGGUAAGUGGGACCCCCAGGAGGUGUUGGGGGACACUCCUCCCCUCCCCCACACUCACAGUCUGUUCACCGCCCAAGGCAGCAGGCUGGACUCGGUGCAGGGACCAUGGCUUGGCGUGGCCAGGUUGGAGUGGCCCCUGGGACUGAAAGCAGGGGGCGUGGGGGCUCUGAGGCGGGGCCGAGUGCGGGGACGUCCUGUGGCGGGUACCCUGCUGGGUCCUGGGUGGGGGCCACCACCAGGCAGCUGUGGGAACAUUCCAGACCACCUAGGAGUAGGGCCCCUUCACCGUUUGAAGCUGACUGUAAAAAACAUCUGACCUGUGUGCAAAGCUC
rnacentral:lncRNA from 1 species